AGCUCCCGCCACUGUGACCCCCUU
rnacentral:miRNA from 1 species